CAUAGUGGCUGCACCGAUUUGCAACUGAGAAGCAGUGCAGGAGACUCCCUUUCCUCCGCAUCCUUGCCAGCACUUGUUAUUUCUCAUCUUUUGGAUGGUGGCCAUUCUGACUGGUGUGAGGUGAUAUCUCACUGUGGUUUUCAUUUGUAUUUCCCUGAUAAUUAGUUAUGUGGAGUGUCUUUUCAUAUGUCUGCUGGCUAUCUGUAUCUCUUCUUUGGAAAAAUGUCUAUUGAGAUCCUUUCCCAUUUUUAAGUCAGAUUCUUUAUUUUUUGAUGUUGAGGUGUAUGAGUACAUUAUAUACUUUGGAUAUUAUCCCCUUAACAUCAUUUGGAAAUAUAUCCUCCCACUCUUUAGGUUGCUUUUUAAUUCUGCCAUCCUUUGCUGUGCGAAAGCUUUUCAGUUUGAUGUACUCCUGCUUUUAUUUUUGUGUUUGUUUCCCUUGCCUGGGGAAACAUAUCCAGGAAGAGUCACUAAUGCUGACGCUCAAGUUUACUGCCUGUGUUUUCUUCUAGGAGUUUUAUGGUUUCAUCCUGCAGAGCUUUAAACACAGUUUUCUGGGCUCUAUCCCCAGGGAUUCUGAGUCACAGAGGGGCUCAUGAAUUUGCAUUUCUAACAAGCUCACAGGUAGAACUGAUGCUUUUGGCCAGUUUUGAGAACAAGUGUUUUAAAUCAAACCGUGUCUGGAGGGAAGACCUCCCUGAUACCUGCUUGGUUUUCUUCCAAACCUCUAUUAAGCCCAUUUUUAACUUUUCCUUCUUAUCAGCUCAUUUUAGUCACUGAGGGCCCUCUACACCAAAUGGCUCACAAAAGGCUGCUGGUAGAAGGGCUGUAAUGACUGACAUUCAUGUUGGCAUUUUUCUUUUAUCCUUUUACUUCACAUAUUGUGGAACCUAUUUUUUAGUUCACUCUCUAAAGAGACGUACAUAUUUAUCAGAUUAAAUCAGCAGCUGAAAUAGAUUUAAAUUCAUUCAGUGUUCCUGCCUGUUUCUUCAACACAUUUUUAGUGAAUCUAACAAUGUGGAGUAGGAUAAAAUGAAGAAAUUUUCCCCAAGUAGCUUCUGGCUCUGAUGCGCACUGUUGACUGCAUUUGUGGAUUGAGUUUGAAUUUAAUAAAACAGAUAUAAAUAAGUUUCCCAAAGUGCUUUUAUUUCUCCUCUCAAUUUGAAUUGUUAGAGUACAUAUAAGAUGGAGAAAAAAAUAGCAUAAAAGGAACCUUAUGGAAUGGAGGCAUGUAUUACUAAAAAAAUCUCAUAUUACUUUAUUGGUUGUAUUCACAGCUAUGGAGAAUUUUAGCCAAGAACUCAUCAGCAGUGAAAGACAGGAAACAGCUAUGAAGCAUGCUGAGAUCCAUCUUGGUUGCCUCCAAGUUUUGGCACUUAUAAAUAAAGCUGCUAUAAACAUCCAUGCACAGGUUUUUGGGUGGACAUGAUUUCAACACCUUUGCAUAAAUACCAUGGAGUGCUGUAGCUGAACAUAUGGCAUACCCUAGCUAAUUCACCAUGUGAAGAUGGAACCAGAGAUUGGAGUGAUGUGUCUACAGGGGAAAAAAAUGCCCAAAAUUGUUGGCAGCCACCAGAAGUUAGGUGAGAGGCAUUUAACCAGGUCUUCCCUAGGGCCUCCGAACCUCCAGAAGGAACCAGACUGGCCUACACCUGGAUCUCAGACUUCCAGUCUCCAGCGCUGUGAGAGAAUACAUUUCUGUCAUUUAAGUCCCCCAGUUUGUGAUAAUUCAUUACACAGCUCUAGGAAACUAACACAGUACCUUUGUCCAGUGAACUGCUGUUAAUAUAGUUUGAUCAUUGGAACCCACAUGUGAAAAACAUGGGAAGUCCAAGGCCUUUUUGCCCUGAACUGUUUGAUAUUUCUACCUCCCAGGUGUCGGGACACAAAACAUCUAGAGAAGUGUCACAUAUGCCUCAUUAGGAGGUGUUAGGGACACCUGCCAUAAGAGACCUUCCCGCACACGGAGUCUGAAGUCCUCCUGCCUUACGGGCUGCUGACGAAGAGAACCCAGCAGUGCCUGGGUAAAGCCCGUCCCGCCCCGUGGAUGGGGCUGGAGUUGUGGAAUGUGGUGGUGGUGGUGGUGGUAAUGGGGUCUCUUCCACUGGAACAGCGAACUAUAUUCCAGGUGGAGAGGCCCUACUCAGUUCGGUGAUUCUAUUUAACCCACCUCAUCCAACCUGCACUCCGACCUCAGCAACGCCUGCCAGCCUUGCCAGAAGCAGACGCAUGCCUCCCCUGCAACACUUACACUGCAUGGAGACAGGCCCAGAAGUCCCAAGUGGAUGCAGAUCCCACUCCCCAUUUGGGGGACAUACUGGAAAGAUAGUCCUUCUGGGGAAACAACUGCAGAAUAUGGAACAUGGAAAAAGCAACGUGGGGAUUAGCUCCACACAGUGCCCUGAUGAUCUUGCAGGUCUCCACACAGGCCAGGUAGGGAAAGGCUUAGCCACAGAGGCCCAGGUCUUUGUAGAACGGCCUGUGAUGACUGGGGCGCAGGGAUCAGCUGCCCCGCGUGCUCUGUCAGGACGGCUUGCUUACCCCACCCGUCUCACAGAGGCUGCCACUGCAUCAGUAAAGCACGGGUCAUCAACUUUAUGUCCCUUUGGGACAGCUGCAGGCUAUACAGCCACAGGGCUGUAGUGGGUCAGCUCCUCGGAAGCUGAGGACCCUCUACCCAGGCUGCUUGUCACUCGCAACCCCGGGCGCAGCCUCCCCCGUGGAACCGAGCAGUGGAGCUGGGCUCAGGCUGUUCUGCUUUUGCUGUAAGCGACAAACCACUCGAACCCACUCAGGCGUGGUGUCUCCUGCAGACGGACCUCGGGGGUCCAGCAGGCCUACCGAAAGGGGGCUGUGGCGGCGCUCACUGGCUCCUGACGGCGCGGCAGUGACGCACCAGACUCCGAGCGGGAGGCCUGGGAACCGCGCCGACGGCCGCCACCCGGCCCGAGCUCUGCCCUCUCCUGCGCCGCGCUCGGGGGCUCUGGCAUCUGCUCCUCAGCGCCGCUGUGAGAACAGCAUGAGGUACUAGAUUCCCUGGGCUGAGGAUAAAAUCAGAAAAUCAAAGUCCCGUACUGGAGGUGGGGAGUGAAAUAAUGUGAGACUGUUUUGUGCCUAAAAUGUCUUAUAAAAGGCUGUAAGAUUUAAAGCGAGCCAUGAUGGCCUCAUGGUGAUCGCACCUGCUGGGUGCUUACAUCGUCUUUAUGUUUUUUGCUAUGAAGUGAAAGACACAGUUUUUGCUCUAAUUUGCAUUUUGGUUAUUACUCAGGAUUAUAUUUUCUCUUGUUUACUAUUUGCAAACCUCUGUAUAGUUUUGAAUGAGAGAUAGUCUAAUUUUUUUUCAGAUAUCUAAUGGGAUGUUAAUAUAAAGAUCAGUUGAAAUGCAAAAUUAAAUCGAAAAAUAUGAUUAUUUCCCAAUAGUAAUAUUUAAAAAUUUAUUUUCUAGUUGUUGCUUUUUAAGUUGUUUUUUCUUCCUUCUGCAGGUGGUAAAUAUUUUAUAUUCAGAUGUUUGUUUCUCCCUUUGUGAUUUUGUUAUACUGCUUCAAAGUUGAGAUUGCUCUCUUGAUAUGGAUCUGAGAAAUAUUCUAUUAUUUGUAGAUUUUCUUUUUAGAUUUUUAAAGUUUUAUUUUUUUGUUUGGUCUGUAAGUUAUUUUGUUUGAAUUUACCUUAAAUAUUCUUACACAAUUGCUAGGCAUUAAAAAUACUAUCUUAUUAAAUGAUAUUUCAAUGUAUACUUGUUCUCCACAUUCUAUUGGUCAAAUCAUACAUCUUAAUAUGCACUUACACUGUUUAUGAUCUCUACUUGUUUUCCUUUGUUGCUAGAGAUCCAACAUUUCCCUAUCGCUUGUAUACUAUAUUCAUUAGAUCUAUGCUUUUAUUGUCAAAUAACCAAUUUUUAAAAAUUACGUGCAUUGCUUUUAUCCCAGAUAUAAAUAGAACAGAUUUCCAUUUCUAGGACACAGAAAAAAAACAGGGACAUUAAAUAAGAAGAACUCACUCAUAAUCUGGAACAUAAUCCUCAAUUAACAUUUGUUAUACUUAAUCUCAGUUUUUAUCAUGUGUAAUUUUUAGUUUGUGAAGUCCCAUCAUUUACAGAAUUGGGGUAAUACUUAUAUCUACUUACACAGUUCUGAAGAUUAAACAAAAUUAAAUGUGUGAAGCAAUGAGCAUAGUGUUCAACAUACAGUAUUUAAUGGUUAUUAUUUUUUAUUUACUUGGUUACACAAUUUUGUAUUUUUUUCACAUGACACUAUAUUUUUUACCCAUUCAUAUAUAAAUAUUUUAAUGAAAAAAUUUAAAUAUAAUUUAGCUAGGUGUAUAAUGUAUCUGUUGUAUGAGUAUGUUUGGGUGCAUGUGACCCAGCCUACCAUUGUUUUUUGUCUAGUAGUUUGUGCUGUGAGAAAGCUUUAUCUGCUUUGGAAUUGGUUUCUUAGUAUAGAAUCUAGAACUGAAAUUGUUCAAUCAGUGAUUAGAAAUAAUGAUUAAAGGUGUACAUAUGUAUAUGUGGAUGUGUACAUAUACAUACACACACACAAAUUAAUGCAAAUAUAAACUUUCAAAAGGCCUCAUUCCAAUUUAUAGUCCAAAUAUUUUUGUUACUGUUUCAUUUCCAUUUGUCCGUACAUUGUCUUAUUCUUAAUUAGACUAAUUAUAUACUGUUUUCCUCCUUGCUACUGAGAUUGGGUGUUUUCCCAUGUGUUUGUUUACUGAAUCAUAUUCUUAUAAAAAAUGAAUCACUAGUUUAUGUCCUUUGCCUGUUUAUCUAAUUUCAUCCCUUCAUGGUUUCUAAAUAGAGCUAAAUUCUUCUGUCACCAAGGGUCAAAUAAUGUUCUAUUCAAUUUCCUUUUGCAGUUUUCUAUGUUACCCUUAUAUUUUUUUCAUUAUGAAAGUGCUUUUGGAGAAAUUGGGUAAUCACUGAUAUGUGAAAAGAUGCAAAAAUAAAAAUAACAAUUCCUCCCACUAAUAAUAAUAAACAUGCUGGUAUUUUUUCCAAAAAACUUU